rnacentral:rRNA from 1 species
AACGAACGCUGGCGGCAGGCUUAACACAUGCAAGUCGAACGAGAUCUUCGGAUCUAGUGGCGCACGGGUGAGUAACGCGUGGGAAUCUACCUUGGAGUCUGGGAUAACAGUUGGAAACGACUGCUAAUACCGGAUACGCCCUUAGGGGGAAAGGUUUACUGCUCCGAGAUGAGCCCGCGUCCAAUUAGGUAGUUGGUGAGGUAAAGGCUCACCAAGCCGACGAUUGGUAGCUGGUCUGAGAGGAUGACCAGCCACACUGGGACUGAGACACGGCCCAGACUCCUACGGGAGGCAGCAGUGGGGAAUAUUGGACAAUGGGGGCAACCCUGAUCCAGCCAUGCCGCGUGAGUGAUGAAGGCCUUAGGGUUGUAAAGCUCUUUCGCCGGUGACGAUGAUGACGGUAACCGGAGAAGAAGCCCCGGCUAACUUCGUAG